UAAUGGAAUGGAUUUAAGGUUGGAAAGUUCACCCUAAACAUCCUUAAUUAAGUCUGCACCAGCCUGGAUUGUUGUACCUUCUGUCUCACCACAGCCACUGUAUCCACAACGCUACCCUUGCAAGACUCGAGAAUGAUGGCAGGAGUUACUCCUGUCCAAUACCCACUUCCAGAUCAGCCUUAAAGAAAUAAGAAAUAAGCAGCAGAUAGGGGUUUCUCUAGGAAAGAAUUCUUUUUUUUUCAGUUAUUACUAUAUUGCUAAUUGUUGGUUGGAGCUGAACCCAGAAAGUACCUAUAGAAAUUUAUACUUGCAGCAUGGAAAGUGAAAGACAUUGUGGUUCCUUCAUUAGUUCCUGAAGCACGGAUCUAGAACUGGAAGAAAGAGACAAUGUGCCUUUCUACCACACUACCAGAGAACAAAAGAACACAACUUCAUAGGCAAAGACGUCAGCUGAAGAAACCAAGACAUAGAUUGAAUAUUUUGUCCAAGUUGCAUGGCUAUGGAGUUGCAGAGGACUCAAAUCUAGCCCAUUUCGCUCCAGAGCCUGUGUUCCUUACUGCUGUGUCUCAGGGAGUCCUGCCUGUGCCUGUGAGCUAAUGAAGGCAUUCAGACCUUCCACCACCUGCCUGGUAUGAGAAGAUAAGUGACGAUCUUUUAAAUGAAAACAUAUAUGCAUAGACAAUGACACAGAGAGGCCACUAGGAUAAAGGAGCUUUCAGAGAAACUCUCCGAUCGACUACCUUGGUAUAUUUACCACUGCCUGGGGUCUCCCUUAUCAUGCCAGACAUUUAAAUUUUCCAGAACACUAAAAAAGAUACCAUUCCUCAGGAUUUAAGUCACAUAAAUGAAAAGACUGGAGGGCAAACCAACCACCAAAAUAGCAACCUACUUAACAUUAACAAACGUGUCUGAUGCUGAGGUAUUGGUGAUCCAGUAGUAAUUCUAAUAGUUUCAAAGAAAGUUCCUGGUCUCAUGAAUCUUACGUUCCAAAUGAGGAAUAAAAGUUAUAAGUAAGUACCCUAGCUAUAGAUUGUAUAUCAUGCAAGGUCAGUUACUAUUAAGUGCAAUGAAGAAAACAUAAAUCAGGAAAGAAAAUGAAGGGUGCAGGGAUGGUACCUUCGAUUGAGUAGAAAAUAAAGUACUUUCUGAGGGGCUGACAUUUGAAUAAAGACAGGAAUGAAUUGAAGAAGCAAAUCAAGUGCAUAUGAGACCAUUGUUCAGAAGAAGGAGCAGCAACAAGACCCUGAGACAGGCACAGACUUGGCAUGUCUAAGAAACACGCAGGAGGCCAAUAUGAUUGACCAUCCAUGGGCGGGAUAGAUGAGAAGGGCCUGAUGGGAAGAGAGGCUGCCAGUGGCCAGAUCACCCAGAAUCUCACAGGGCCAUGAGGCCACAGAAGGAAUUGGAGGUUUUAUGCUAAUGUAACAGAAGUUAUUGGAGGGUUUUGAAAAGGGGUGACAAUGCUUGGAUUUACAUCUUUAAAGAUCACUCCAGCUGUAAAAUAAAUUUCUAUGGGGGAAAAAUGCAUCUUGACUUCCACCAUGCAAGAUAACAAUAAUGAUGAUAAUGAUAGUAGUAAUGCAAGAUGGGUCACAAGUGGGAAUGUAAAAGUCAAAAUGAUAAAUCUAAUAGAGGAACAUAUGGGAGAAUAUCCUGACAACCUUGAGGGAAGCAAAAUUUUCUUUAGAAAUAUAAAGUACUAAUUCAAGAAAUUUGAUAAACUAUACACCACCAAAAAUAAAAAACCCGUACACAUCAAAAGAUAUUAUGAGAGGGGAGGGGGAAAGGAAAGAAGGGAAAGGAAAAAUUAUGAGAAAAGAAAAAAAAUGGAAAUGAUGUCUAUGUAAAUAGGGAAGAGUGGAGGGGGUGAAGGGUACACAGGUAAUGGGGAAAAAAUAAGAAUCAAGAUAUAUCAUGUACAGGUACAAACACCCAAUGAUAAAUGUAAAUGUAUUGUGUACCUAAAAUGUACCAAUAAAAGAACUUAAGGGAAAAAAAGAUAUGAAGCAAAUAAAAAACAAGUGACAAAUUAGAGGAAUAUAUUUGACAUUUAUAUUUCUAACAAAGGACUUGUAUAUAAACACUUGUAUAAAGUAUUAAGAACUACAAAUCAUUGCAAAAGACAACCAAAUUUUAAAAUGGGAAAAAG
rnacentral:lncRNA from 1 species